rnacentral:rRNA from 1 species
CUGACAGUACUCCUACGGGGAGGCAGCAGUGAGGAAUAUUGGACAAUGGAGGCAACUCUGAUCCAGCCAUGCCGCGUGUAGGAAGACUGCCCUAUGGGUUGUUAAACUACUUUUAUAGAGGAAGAAAUCGCAAUACGUGUAUUGCUCUGACGGUACUCUACGAAUAAGGAUCGGCUAACUCCGUGCCAGCAGCCGCGGUAAUACGGAGGAUCCAAGCGUUAUCCGGAAUCAUUGGGUUUAAAGGGUCCGUAGGCGGGCGUAUAAGUCAGUGGUGAAAGUUUGCGGCUCAACCGUAAAAUUGCCAUUGAUACUGUAUGUCUUGAAUAAUUGUGAAGUGGUUAGAAUAUGUAGUGUAGCGGUGAAAUGCAUAGAUAUUACAUAGAAUACCGAUUGCGAAGGCAGAUCACUAACAAUUUAUUGACGCUAAGGGACGAAAGCGUGGGUAGCGAACAGGAUUAGAUACCCUGGUAG